GACAUUAAAGCUUUUCUCACAUCUCUCUCUCUUGCCACAAAGCUCACUUUUCUCUCUUUUGCACUCAACUCACCUUUUUCUUGCGCCUCACAACUCAAUGUUUUCUUUUUGCGCAAACUCUCUUUCUCUCCUUUUUCCUCUCUUUUCUCACACCCCUCAUGGUUUUCCACACAACUCUUCUUUUGCUUGUGCGCCUUUUCUUUUUUACUUGCACUCUCU
rnacentral:lncRNA from 1 species